rnacentral:rRNA from 1 species
UUGACCUCGAAUCAGGUAGGAAUACCCGCUGAACUUAAGCAUAUCAAUAAGCGGAGGAAAAGAAACCAACCGGGAUUACCUCAGUAACGGCGAGUGAAGCGGUAACAGCUCAAAUUUGAAAUCUGGCUCCUUCGGAGUCCGAGUUGUAAUUUGUAGAAGAUGCUUUGGGUCGUGGGUUCGGCCUAAGUUCCUUGGAACAGGACGUCACAGAGGGUGAGAAUCCCGUAUGUGGCCGAGGCCUGCGCCUAUGUAAAGCUCUUUCGACGAGUCGAGUUGUUUGGGAAUGCAGCUCAAAAUGGGUGGUAAAUUUCAUCUAAAGCUAAAUAUGGGCCAGAGACCGAUAGCGCACAAGUAGAGUGAUCGAAAGAUGAAAAGCACUUUGGAAAGAGAGUUAAACAGUACGUGAAAUUGUUGAAAGGGAAGCGCUUGCAACCAGACUUGGGCGCUGCCGAUCACCCCGAGUUCUCUCAGGUGCACUCGACAGCGCACAGGCCAGCAUCGGUUCGGGUGGCUGGAUAAAGGCCGUAGGAACGUAGCUCCCCUCGGGGAGUGUUAUAGUCUACGGUGCCAUGCAGCCCAGCCGGACCGAGGACCGCGCCUUCGGGCUAGGAUGCUGGCGUAAUGGUUGUAAGCGACCCGUCUUGAAACACGGACCAAGGAGUCUAACAUCUAUGCGAGUGUUUGGGCGUUAAACCCAUACGCGGAAUGAAAGUGAACGUAGGUGAGAACCCCUUUGGGGCGCAUCAUCGACCGAUCCUGAUGUCUUCGGA